UACGUAGGGUGCAAGCGUUGUCCGGAUUUAUUGGGCGUAAAGAGCUCGUAGGCGGUUUGGCAAGUCGGGUGUGAAAACUUCAGGCUCAACCUGGAGAUGCCACCCGAGACUGCUAUGACUGGAGUCUGGUAGGGGAUCACGGAAUUCCUGGUGUAGCGGUGAAAUGCGCAGAUAUCAGGAGGAACACCGGUGGCGAAGGCGGAUCUCUGGGCCAUUACUGACGCUGAGGAGCGAAAGCGUGGGGAGCGAACAGG
rnacentral:rRNA from 1 species